ACGUUUGAAAUAUUUGGUUUAUUUAAAAAAUAAAACAGUAUAUCCAUAUUCUCCCCUUACGGAGACCUUUUCUCAUAUACUUGGAGUGACCAUUUUCAAGCAGCAUGAUCUCAGAGGAACGAGGGAGCAGGCCAGGGCCUUCUCUGACUUUUCUUGACCGGCUGUUGCACAUCAGGCCCUGGGGUGCCAGGGACACAGGCAGAAGGUGCGGCCCUGCCCUCCAGGAGCUCCCAGCGUAGUAAGGAGCCAGGGUACUCGGGGAAGGAACGGAGGGGCACUGACCAGGCCUGCUUCCGGGUUGGCAGGCUUCUGGAGGCUUCACGGAGGCUGCAGUAUUCGAGCUAAGCCCUGGAAGGCUGAGGGGUUCCCAGGUGAUCAGGGUUAGAAAAGGCCUUGUGUGCAAGGGCGCAGAAGCGUGAAGAGCUCUGACCCCUCGGAAUGCUGGGCUGUGGUAAGAAGCAGGGCAGAUGAAGGGCAGGCUGCCUCAUCAGCGUGUGCCGUUCAACCCCGGGGUGGGGUCAGAGGAAACUUCACUCCCCUGGCUGCUUGUGGGGUGAGGUCAGCCUGAAGCAGAGCCCUAUAUGGGGAACAGGGGUGGCACAGGCCUUUCUCAGCUGGAGGGAUUCUGGGACCUGGCUCAUGGCUGCCCUGAGUUUGGGGCCAGCAGGAGCAGACCCCCUGCUGGUAGAAGCAGCUGCCUGCUGGUAGAGCAGCCCCUCCUGGUGGAACAGCCCCUCCGGUAGAGUAGCCCCUCCUGGUAGAGCAGCCCCUCCUGGUGGAGCAGCCCCACCUGGUGAAACAGCCCCUGCUAGUGGAGCAGCCCCCCCGGUGGAGCAGCCUCUCCUGGUAGAGCAGCCCCUCCUGGUGGAACAGCCCCUGCUAGUGGAGCAGCCCCUCCCGGUGGAGCAGCCCCCCCGGUAGAGCAGCCCCUCAUGGUAGAGCAGCCCUUCCUGGUGGAACAGCCCCCCCGGUAGAGCAGCUCCUGCUGGUGAAGCAGCCCCUCCUGGUGAAACAGCCCCUGCUAGUGGAGCAGCCCCCCCUGGUAGAGCAGCCCUUCCUGGUGGAACAGCCCCCCCGGUGGAGCAGCCCCUCCUGGUGGAGCAGCCCCUGCUGGUGAAGCAGCCCCUGCUCCUGCAGCCUGGGGUCAGAAGUCUCCCUGGAGGCUGAGGCCAGGGGGUCACAGAGUAGCUGGAUGAGCAUGCCCUUGAAGGGUGAGGUGUCCAGGCUUCCCUGGUGCUGCCCGUGUUCUGUGCCCUGCCCUGGCUCUACCUGACAUCCAUGUGACACUGGGCAGAGCAUAUGUGUAUCGAGACCCUCAUCGGUGCCGAACUGCGUUCAAAGUGUUUCCCACGUGGGUCCUGUCCCAUUUAACCUUCCCGAGGGCUGCUCACAUGGGCACUGCUGGUCCCAAAGCCCUGAGGCUUGUUCAGUGUCACCCAGCCAGCACGUGGCCAAGCAGAGGCUCCAGGCCCAGGUCAGCCUGACCCUCCCCGGCAUACCUCCUUCUGGAUUAUGUGUCCUGUCCCCUAGAGAAGGCUCAGUGUGGGAAGCCUAUCUCCCUGAGGACUUGUGCCCUGCCCAUUCUCCCCUGCUGCCGCCUCCCCCCACCUCACCCUCCAGUUCCCCCUGGGGGCCUCCAUAGCAGCUGUGGGCAGAGCCACCCUGAGCAGUCGAGUGCCAUCCUGUAGGGCAGCAGGCCCAGCAGAACGGUGUGGCCUACGGUGUUUGCUUUUCCCAGCCCUGCAUUUGCUGGCCCACUUAUACCUGGCUCGUUGUUUGCCCAAGGUUUGCCCUCCAGGAACAUGGGGUUGGGUGAGGCUGGGCAAGGGUGGCAGGCAGAUGGUCUUCUGCUUCAGGGCUUCCAGAUUAACCUGGAAGCUUCCAGCGUCUUCUGCAUGACCAAGGAAGGCCACACUGCCUGUAAGUGCCACGCCCUGCAGUCCCAGUGCUGGCUGGGCAGUACCCGGCCUCGCCCGCGCAGAGCGUGUGACUUUGCAGUGCCGGGCCUGGCGUGCCUGGCGUGCCAGGGCGACAGCGGCAGCUGGACAGUCGGCAAGGAGCAGAAGAGGUCCCCAGAGCCCUUAUGUUAGGCACUGGCAGAGUGUGGGGGCGAGGGGUAGCAUCAAUGGGACUUUUGUGUGGCUGGGGCAGAAGCAUCCCUCACAGGCACAUCUGCCCCAAUCCUUCCUGGAGCUGCUGCUGGUCUGCAGCCCCCACCCUUCCUCCCAGUGAGGAGAGCUUGCCUGGACUCAGCCAGUCCCCGCCCUGCCCUGCCCUUCACCCCUUUUCAGAUGAAUCAGCCCCAGGCACUUGGUGAUUUCUUCUUGGGCCCUGGGCCCGCCCCUCUGCCUGCCCUCCUGACUUCCAGCAUCCUCUCCCUGGUCUGGCUGAGUCCUCUGCUCCAUAGUAAGUCAUUGACCAGAGACUGACCUCAAGUCACGGACCUCAAGGAGGCCACGGGCCUGGUCCUCGAGGCUGAUGGGAACAGAUUAGGUGGACAGAAGCCAGGUGGAUCUGGCACCCCAGGGAAGAGGGAGCCCUCUCUUCACUACGGCUGGGACCCCAGGGAGAGGCCUGCAUCAGCUGGGGAGGGAGCCAGCACCUGCCUCCUUGCAGUCCUGCCUCUGGUGGCCCUCCAGAGUGGCUCUGGUCCCUGAGGGUGAGGGAUCUUGGCAUGCCAUGGGGUAUCCACCCUGCUUUGCACCGUGGCCUUUAGCAGACCCACUGCUCUGGCCCGUGGUCUCUCCACCGCUUGGUACCUGCCAAACAAGCUGUAAGGACAAGCAGGCUAUCACCAACAGGCUGUGCUGCACCCUCCUGGGCAAAGAGCUCUGUGAGCAGAGGGCGGCCGACAUCACUCAGGCUCGGGGACAGCCUUCCCAGGAACCAGGGCUCCAAGGGGCCGCGACUUGCCCACAUGUAUUAGUGGCUGGGCCCGGGACCAGGCCUGGAUUCUCUGACACCAAGCCCCGCGCGUUUCCCACUCUGCCCCUGCAGUAAACCCGAAGUGCUAAUAAACGAGCACAUUGGUACAUAA